rnacentral:rRNA from 1 species
AGUGAACGCUGGCGGUAGGCCUAACACAUGCAAGUCGAACGGCAGCACAGUAAGAGCUUGCUCUUACGGGUGGCGAGUGGCGGACGGGUGAGGAAUACAUCGGAAUCUACUUUUUCGUGGGGGAUAACGUAGGGAAACUUACGCUAAUACCGCAUACGACCUACGGGUGAAAGCAGGGGAUCUUCGGACCUUGCGCGAUUGAAUGAGCCGAUGUCGGAUUAGCUAGUUGGCGGGGUAAAGGCCCACCAAGGCGACGAUCCGUAGCUGGUCUGAGAGGAUGACCAGCCACACUGGAACUGAGACACGGUCCAGACUCCUACGGGAGGCAGCAGUGGGGAAUAUUGGACAAUGGGCGCAAGCCUGAUCCAGCCAUACCGCGUGGGUGAAGAAGGCCUUCGGGUUGUAAAGCCCUUUUGUUUGGAAAGAAAAGCAGCAGGUUAAUACCCCGCUGUUCUGACGGUACCCAAAGAAUAAGCACCGGCUAACUUCGUG